UUUUCUUAGAAUUGGAGGAUCGACAGAGUUACACCGCUCAGCCACCUUUGGAGCAGAAAAAAAUGAACUCAAAGAUAUGCAUAACGAAUAGAAAGCAAAUGACUGAACAUGGACAUGGUAAAAAGCAGGAAAGAAAGAUAGUGGUCUAUAGUGUAUCAACUCAUGAUUCAGUGUUCAGUCAUGCUACAUGUAAUUACUUCCAGCGGCGGCGCGGCCAGGCUUGGGUUGGAAACAAGGGGGAACACACGGACAGCGCGCAUGCACCCCCACCCCCUGGACCUCAAUUGGAUCGCGUCGCGCUC
rnacentral:misc_RNA from 1 species